CAAGAAUAAUCUGUCAGAGCUCCUACCCAGCGCUUUCCUGAAGGGAAAAGAAACCCAGUAAAAACAAACUCCAGUUCAUGGUAGCAACAAUGAAACAAUCUCGCUUCUCUCACGCUCCAUUUUAUUGGCCUCUAGAGGUUCUGUGUUUCUAAAGAUUAGCCUUCCCUUGGGAAAUGAGGGAAAAAGAAGAAAUAGCAAAUAUUAGUCCCCUUCUCACAAAGUCACGCUUUUGAGCAGGUUCCCUUGGGAGAGCUCCGCGGUACAACUCGGGGAACUGCCUUCCAGACCCUCUCAGCUCCAGUGCGGGAAGGCUUGAAAAACAUCUCUGAAUGCCAGCGAGACAAACAGGAGCCGCCCAAGCCAGGCCUCCUCCUGAGGCAUCGCGGGAGCCCCUCUGCCGCCCUGCCCCGGGCCCCGCUGCUCAGCCACGGCCUCAGAUCCUCCAGCUGGGCCGGCCGGACAAACCCUGAUCUUCACUCCUGAUUAGGAAUUGUGUGUGAGAGAUGUUUUGAGCUGAAAUAAUAUACAAGAGUUUCCCUAGAGAAAAUAUACACGCUUGUUUUUUGGAACCACUUAACUCAACCCUGUACCAAGCAGACGUACAUUUGGGACAACAUGACACAUUUCUUAACCUAGAAGCACGGCUGGCACAAAUUGAUGCCAUCACGAUAGAGAUUAAUGUGCUCGAUUUAUCAGGCCCGCUGGCUGCAGGUGAAUGGUGAGCCAUUGUUAUUCAACUGGUUAAUAUUAUUUUGACAUAAAUCAAGGUAACGCCUAACAACGUCUGAGUCUUUAAAUCAACCCUCCUUUUCCUCUUUGGAACAUAAAAUUGGGCUGUUGCCAAAAGCGCCAGGAAACAGAGGGCUACAAGUGGCAUUUCAAUACGGAACGUACCCAUUCAGGACAGGAUGCUGGGCUCACGGUUCACAGCCCCUUGCCAAUAUUACAAGUCAGCCUGGGGAGAGUUUCGAAUUCACACUGACAGUGACGUGCUGCUGCUGGAGCUGGAUCUGGUUCUCUCUACACUGCCCACAUGGACCCCAAAGACAGACAUCGAGGACCGGCUGCCAAGCCCAUGCGGAGCCCUUCUCUCUCCUUCAGGCGAUGGUGCCAGCUCUGGCAAAGCUCAGAGACAAGACUCACUCUGCCAUGAAGCACUUCCAUGAAUUCCACGUCUAAGAGCUUCAGCUGGAAGGAAAUCAGGAAAAGCCGAUCACGUGUGAUCAGAGAGGGUCCCGGGGCAGCCACGUGCCACCAGAAAUAAGAGCACCUCCCACAGAGCUGUGGCCCCACAGGCAGAUGUUUAACAGAAGCCAAACCACAGGUGACUACUGCAAACCGAAAGCUUUUGUUCAUCAAAGGACGUAUUCAACAGGGUGAAAACAUAACCUAUGGAAUGAGAGAAAAUAUUGCAAAUCGUGUAUCUGAUAAGGGGUUAGUAUCCAGAAUAUGUAAAGAACUCCUACAAUUCAACAACAAAAAUUAAAUAGCCUAGCUGAAAAAUGGACAAAUGACUUGAACAGACAUUUCUCCAAAAUGAUACACAAAUGGCCAAGAAGCAUAUGAAAAGAUGCUCAACAUCACUAAUCAUCAGGGAAAUGCAAAUCAAAACCACAAUGAGAUAUUGCCCCAUAACCUUUAGGAUGGCCACGAUCAAAACCACAGAGAAUAACAGGUGUUGAUGAGAAUACAGAUAAAUUGGAACCUUUGUGCCCUAUUGGUGGGUAUGUAAAAUGGUACAGUUGUUAUGGAAAACAGAAUACAGGUUCCUCAAACAAAUAAAAAUAGAAUUACCAUAUGAUCUAGCAAUCCUACUUCUGGGCAUCUACCCAAAAGAACUGAAAGCAGGGUUGUGAAGCCCUGCUCACAGCAGCACUAUUCACAAUGGCCCAAAGCUGGAAACAACCCCAGCGUCCACCAAGGGAUAAGCAAACUGUGACAUAUCCAUACAAUAGAAUAUUACUGGGUCUUAAAAAGGAAAGAAAUUCUGAGACACAACGACACAGAUGAACCUUAAGGACAUUAUGCUAAGAAAAAUAAGCCAGUCACAAAAUGACAAAUAUUGUAUGAUUCCCCUUAUAUGAGGUCCCUAGAGCCAUCAGAUUCAUAGAGACAGAAAGUAGCAUGUGGUUGCCAGGGGCUGGGGGAGGGGAUGGAGAGUUGUUUUUAACGGGGUCAGAACUUGAGUUCUGCAGGAUGAAAAGUUAGGGAGAUGUUUCACAACAACAGACACAUGCUUAACACCACUGAACUUACACUGAAAAAUGAUUAAGGUGGUAAAUUUUAUGAUGCUUGUUUUUUACCACGCACAUGCAAAAUCAAACCACAGUGCUCACGCCCCUAUCCAUUCCAGUGCCUCUCCGGUACCUGAGCAGUAUCCAGAAUGACAACACAGCUCCUUUCUACUUUCCUGCUUUUAGGUAAAAUGACAGAACCAACUUCUCCCAAAUGAUGUCACACUCCUGGACACUUCUCCAGGAGCGCAGACAAAGUCGACAAAGCAUUCAUCUCAAAGACCACUGGGACUGAGGUGGCCGUCUGGCAGUUUGGGAAUGACUCGCUUUCAACGAAAGCUCAUGGUGUGACUUGGGAUUGCUGCUAACACAAACCCAAGAAGUGCCCCACAUCCAACACAUCAGCUCCCUGACCCACGUCCCUCCGACCCACAGUGGGCCCGUCAUCCAGGAUGUGGUGCUUGUUCGGGCUGUGCUUGCCGUGAAGAUGCUGCUAAUGCAGGCUGCGCUGCGUGGAAGGGUGGCCCUGGUCUGCAAGGGGAGGAGGGGUGAUGCUUGCACCACCUGUCUCUCCCCGGGCACACAGAACAGGGAGGAGAAGAGAGGCUGUGUGUAAGCAAACACCUGGGGAAACUGCAAGCGCUAGCUCCCCGGGCUGACUGUGCUCCCCUCUCGUCUUGUCAAAUGACCAUGGCUGACGGCACGUGAGAAGACAGCUGCCUUCAGACUUUGCGAAGGAGCUUUGCAUCCAGACCUCACCGUUUCAAAAGCUGCCCACGGAGGAAAGAACUCAAGUCCAGUGCGAGAGGCAGGGAGGGUGCGAGGCGGCAGCGCAGUGUACCACCUGCCCUGGUGACUGCAGCUUCGCAGGAAGUCUUGAAAUCGGACGGCGUGUGUCCUUCGACACAUUCUUCUCCUUCGAAGUUGUCGUGUGUAUUCCAGCACCUUGGCCUUCCCCAGAGCUUCACACUCACUGUGUCGAUCUCUACAAAACAGCCUGCUGGGAUGUUAACCGGACUGAGUUUAAUCUGUACACCAAUUUGGGGAGAACUGACCUCUUAGCAGUUUUGACUAUUCCAAUCCACGAAACAAUACAUGUCUCCAUUUAUGUAGGAAUUCUUUGAUUUCUUUCAUCUGUGUUUCAUAGUUUUCAGCAAACAGUUCUUGUGUGUAUUUUGUAGGAUUUGUGCCUAAGUAUUUCAUGAUUUUUGGUUCUAUUGUAAAUGGAAAUGUUUUUAAUUUCAGUUUCUAAUGGUUCUUUACUAGUAUACAACUAAAUUCACCUGCAGUCCUAGCUUUUGUGUAGAUGCCACUGGAUUUUCUACGUAGAAAAUCACAUCAUCUGCAAAUAAAGAUGGUUUCUCUCUCUCUCUAAUCUGUUUGCCUUUCAUUUCUCUCUUUUUCUUGCCUUCUGCACUUGCUAGAGCCUCCAGGAUGAUGGUGAAUAGAAGUGGUGAGGUUGGACACCCUCGCCUGGUUCCCGAUCGCAGAGGAAAAGCAUCCCCUCUCUCUCUAUUAUGCAUGAGGCCACUGAAGGGGCUUUGCAGACGCCUCUACCAGGGUCGGGAAAAUCUCUUUAGAUCCUGGCUUGCUGAGUUGUCUGUUUAAUCACAGAUGGA
rnacentral:lncRNA from 1 species